AUGGCAAAUAACAAACGCAAUAUAUUAACUCAGAAAUUUCACAAUGGGGCUUAUUUAGAGUUGCUUGCAGGGAUUCAGUCCGAUGCCGCAUUAACACAGACACAGUCCCAAAUACUGAGAAAGCCUAACGAUUCUUUUAAAUUAACUUGCCGAGGAUCUGGGUUUGAUUUCAGCCAAUAUGGGAUGCACUGGAUCCGCCAGGCACAUGGGAAAGGACUAGAAUGGUUGUGGGUAAUUUGGUAUGAUGCCAGAAAAACAGUAUAUGCCAAAUCUGUGGAAGGACGUGUGGAAAUAACAAGAAACAAUGCUGACAAUGUGACAUUUCUAGAAGUGAAAAGCCUGAUUACUUCAGAUACUGCAACAUAUUUCUGUGCUAAGACACAGUGUUUAAAACUUUCUAAACAUAUUACAAUAUCCUGCUUGCAUUAG